rnacentral:rRNA from 1 species
UGGGGAAUAUUGUGCAAUGGGGGAAACCCUGACACAGCGACGCCGCGUGAGUGAAGAAGGCCUUCGGGUCGUAAAGCUCAAUAGUAUGGGAAGAUAGUGACGGUACCAUACGAAAGCCCCGGCUAACUACGUGCCAGCAGCCGCGGUAAUACGUAGGGGGCGAGCGUUGUCCGGAAUUACUGGGCGUAAAGAGCACGUAGGCGGCUAUAAAAGUCAGAUGUGAAAAACCUGGGCUCAACCGAGGGUAUGCAUCUGAAACUGAAUAGCUUGAGUCAAGGAGAGGAGAGCGGAAUUCCUGGUGUAGCGGUGAAAUGCGUAGAGAUCAGGAAGAAUACCAGUGGCGAAAGCGGCUCUCUGGACUUGAACUGACGCUGAGGUGCGAAAGCGUGGGGAGCAAACAGG